rnacentral:rRNA from 1 species
UGGGGAAUAUUGGGCAAUGGAGGCAACUCUGACACAGCAACGCCGCGUGAGGGAAGAAGGUUUUCGGAUUGUAAACCUCUGUCCUAGGGGACGAAGAAAGUGACGGUACCCUAGGAGGAAGCCCCGGCUAACUACGUGCCAGCAGCCGCGGUAAUACGUAGGGGGCGAGCGUUGUCCGGAAUUACUGGGCGUAAAGGGUGCGUAGGCGGUUUGGUAAGUUAGAUGUGAAAUCCCCGGGCUUAACUCGGGAGUUGCAUUUAAAACUGCUGAACUAGAGUGCAGGAGAGGAAAGCGGAAUUCCUAGUGUAGCGGUGAAAUGCGUAGAUAUUAGGAGGAACACCAGUGGCGAAGGCGGCUUUCUGGACUGUAACUGGCGCUGAGGCACGAAAGCCUGGGGAGCGAACA